rnacentral:rRNA from 1 species
CCUACGGGAGGCAGCAGUAGGGAAUAUUGCUCAAUGGGGGAAACCCUGAAGCAGCAACGCCGCGUGGAGGAUGAAGGUUUUCGGAUUGUAAACUCCUUUUGUUAGAGAAGAUAAUGACGGUAUCUAACGAAUAAGCACCGGCUAACUCCGUGCCAGCAGCCGCGGUAAUACGGAGGGUGCAAGCGUUACUCGGAAUCACUGGGCGUAAAGAGGGCGUAGGCGGGAUAGCAAGUCAGAUGUGAAAUCCUAUGGCUUAACCAUAGAACUGCAUUUGAAACUGUUAUUCUAGAGUAUGGGAGAGGUAGGUGGAAUUCUUGGUGUAGGGGUAAAAUCCGUAGAGAUCAAGAGGAAUACUCAUUGCGAAGGCGACCUGCUAGAACAUAACUGACGCUGAUGCGCGAAAGCGUGGGGAGCAAACAGGAUUAGAUACCCCGGUAGUC